UACGUAGGUGGCAAGCGUUGUUCGGCAUUAUUGGGCGUAAAGGGCGCGUAGGCGGCUUGUUAAGUCGGCUGUGAAAGCCCGAGGCUCAACCCCGGAGGGUCAGCCGAUACUGGCAGGCUAGAGUACGGAAGAGGUAGCUGGAAUUCCCGGUGUAGCGGUGAAAUGCGUAGAUAUGGGGAGGAACACCGGUGGCGAAGGCGGCCACCUGGACGGUAACUGACGCUGAGACGCGAAAGCGUGGGGAGCAAACAGG
rnacentral:rRNA from 1 species